rnacentral:lncRNA from 1 species
AAAAAAGAAAGAAAGAGAGAGAGAAAGAAAGAAGGAAAGAAGGAAAGAAAAAAGAAAGAAAGAAAGAAAGAAAGAAAGAAAGAAAGAAAGAAAGAAAGAAAGAAAGAAAAAGAAAAAAAGAAAGAAAAAGUUUCCAUCAUCUGUUACUUUUUAUAUUGGUCUUAACUCAGAAUUUCUGGAAUUUAUUUGUUCUCUUCCUCAACAUAGUCACCUGGUAAAAGAACUUUCAAGGUGCCAUUACACAUUAGUUUGCAUAGUUUCCCACUGACUCCAUCCAGUACAGUCUCAUAAUAUUUUACCAUUCUAAUCAAUGGAUGGAUACCAAUAAUAUUAGCCAUGGAACAUAUCUUGGAAGUGAGUGCUUCUAUGAUCUUUAAUCCUACUUCAGUAGACUGUUUUUUUUCACACAAGAGAUUCAAAGAAUCAGGUUUUUUAAAAUGAGGAUGCCACAAAUUUAUUACUAUAGAAUCCAAUAUAGCAAAAUAAUGCAAAGAUGGCUUGGGGAAGCCUGAAGAAACAGAUGUUUUAAAAGAACCAGUACUUAUUUCUGGGUAGAAGAUCAGAAGAAAAAAAUCCCAGCUAUUUGAUGAGAUGAUCCUUAAAGGCUGGGUGGGAAUUCAACAUGUAGGUGAACAUACGAGACUUACUGACUGAGUAAGAAAAUGUAGAGUUUUGUUCAGACAGUUCUGGAGGUAAGGGUAUUGGUAGUGAAGAGGUGGAAAUUUGAAGUAGAAAACUAGAUUCAGGCAGCAUUCCAUUUGUGGGGGCCUUUGAAUGCUGGUAGAACAUUUGUGUUUACUUUAGUCAGUAAUAAUGAGCAACUGAGGUUUUUUGUUUGUUUUUGAGUAUGGAAGUUACAUAAUCAGAUUUGUGCUUUGUUAAAGUUAAUUGGGCAGCACAGUGGAGAAUGAAUUGGGGCCAAUAAGAAAAAGAUUAGGAGAGGAAUAUAUAAACGAUUAUUACUGUACUAGUCCAAAGAACAUGAAAAAUGUUUAUAUUGAACAGAUGGGUUCUAGUGGUAAGAAGAGAUAAAGUAGGAUCUUCAAGAAGUGAAAACAGAUAAUAACUAAACAAGAUUGGUGUUUCUACAUUUACAAAACAAAUAUUGACUUGAAUAGACUAUAUAAGAAUCAUAUAUUUGAGAAAGAAUAGCUUUUACCUUGUCUCUUUAAAUUUCUGCUGGACCUAUUAUUGUUACUAGUAAUUUUGGAGAUGUAGGAAAUGAGUUUUGAAAAUCAGAAUGCUUUGGAAUAGUAUUUGAUGAUACAGGAAAAAAAUUACAGACAAAUGAAUGCUCUGCCCACCAAACAGAGUACAUCUAGUUAAAGAUAUAGUUCACUACGAGUCAGAAGUAUGAAGGAUUUUUUUUUCUGCUGAUUUUAUCAGUUAUUUUGACAUCUUGUAGGAAAUUUUGAAAGUUUAUAAUUACUCUCAUCCAGAAAGCUAUGGAACUGAGUCCCUCCAAUCCUGUUCAGAUUCUAUUAUUAUUUCUGGCCUGUGACAUUUUGUUGUGUAUUUUGCUUCUUUAAGUUUACCUUUGACUCAACUCGUGGUCGUGGUCUUGUACCUUUCAACACAGGCUUGAUAAGAGGGAAUAUGAAGGUGACAUCUGACCAGACACAGUGGCAUCUGAGCCUAUGGUACCCUCCACUGAGUCAUGCAGCUGAAAUCUUUUGAGAUCUAUAUACAGUCCAGGUUCUGAUCAUGAUAGCAAGAGUGUGGAGAUGCUCAGAGCUUAAGAGGGUUCAAAUAUAUACACACAAAAAUUACAGAGAAAUAGGAAAUGAGAAGAAAAAGGAAAGAAUGUGAGAUCAGAGCCAGGAGAGAUUCAUUCCACUUAGUGAACAACUGGAAGCUUUGUGAAGAAAGUGACAUUUCCCAUUAAAUGAGUAACUGACAACCAAUUCAUUUCCUCUUUCCCUCUUCCUAGCUCCGUCCUGCUCUUCCUUUACUUUUUCAAAUAUUUAUGGAGUAUAUAGAGGGCUCUAAGCCCUAUGAUAAGGGCUUUGGGCUCCAAUCAGAUAUGAAUCUGCUCAAAACAGCUGAAAAAUUACAUUAAUAGCCAAGUAUGGACAUGCCCAGUAGAAAUAGUUAUGUAAUGAAGUAUAAGUAUAGAAGUAUAGGAGAAAGAGAAAGGUUUGAUUCGUAGUUAAAAAUAUGAUUGUCUUAAUGUCUGCUUUUUUUUUUUUUUUACCUUUUGCCUUUUGCCUUUUUAGGGCUGCACCCAAAGCACAUGAAGUGUCCCAGGCUAGGGGUCAAAUUGGAGCUGUUGCUGCCGGCCUAGGCCAGAGCCACAGCAAUGUGGGAUCCGAGCCACAUCUACGACCUACACCACAGCUGUGACCUACACCACAGCUCAUGGCAAAGCCGGAUCCCUAGCCCACUUAGUGAGGCCAGGGAUCGAACCCGAAACCUCAUGGUUCCUAGUUGGAUUCGUUUCCGCUUUGCCACAACGGGAACUCCCCGUCUUUGCUGUUUAGAAAACUGCUCUUUAAUACCUGGAGAAGCAGCCACAGCUAUACUUGAGAACACUUCUAUAUCUAGGAAGCAAGGUGACAUAUGGUAAUGGGGAUCCUGGUCCAGGAUACAAGGACUGGUUUGUUACUGGUCAUCUAUAGUUCUCAUCCUGUAAAGAGAUACACUCCCUAGUACAUGGAAAUCAACUUGUGGCAUUUUAUUUCUGAGUGAGUUUCUGAAAAUCAUUUUCUGAAACCCUAUUCAGAAGACCCUUGACAAAUCACGUCGACUCUGUAUGGCUUCCUUGCUAAAACUGUUAAGACAGCUUGGUUGGUGGACAUGGAAGUGUUAAUUGCUUUGAAAAGCUGUUGUACUUCCAGCUUUACCCUCAUUUUUUUAUUUGCUUUUCCUCUUUUUCUAACCAUUGAAUCUUGAAGCACAUUCUUUCGUUAAGGAGAUUCAGCACCCUCUACAGUAGUUGAUUGGGAGUCAUUAACAUCCUGCAGCACAUCCUAGUCUUGAAAGAUAAGAGUCAGCCUUGUGCAAAUGAAAUUUUAAACAAAUGCUGCUUUACUUUUCUCUCAUCCUCUUAAACAAUGCCAUGGAACCAUAAUAAACCUGUAGUUUCAAGUUUAACUUCAUUUCCAGGUUAUGUCCCAUGAAUUGAUAUUCCAUAGAUAUUGAAACUAAGCUUUUCCUCUUUUAAAGAUUCUUAUCCCUUUCCAGAAAUCUCAGCAAUUCAUUUCCAUCAUGUGCCCUAUUCUUGUGCCAUUCAGCAAAACAGUGCCUGUAGAUUUCUCCUUCUAGUGAUUAAUUAUUAGCUUUCUGGUGACUUCUUAAUAUUUUUCUGUAUUUAAAAAUACUCCUUCAUUUCAAAAUUCUCUAGUGUAAGAUACAAACAUUAAAUGGAACAUAAGAAAUGGCAAUUACUUUCCUCUCCAUCUAGCUUUGCCUUUACCACCAAACACAUCAUUUGACAAAUGUAUAAAAAUCAUAUAAGUUUAAAACUUAAAAAUAAACAUGAGGCAAUUAGUUUCCUCAGUGAAAACAUUAGCAUUUAAAGGUUAAAGUGACAAAAAAUGUGCUUAUUCCUUAACAUUACUAACAAAGUGCCUAUUUUGUGUUAACACGAGUUAUAUUUUUUAAAGAAGCUGCAAAUAUAUAAAGACAGAUGGCCUCUGAAUAUUUAAAUGCAAUAGAUUAAAAAACAACAAAACCAAAACACACUUUUAUUGUUAGGAAAUGCUGAAAUCUAUUGCUUAAUGUAUUAGUUAAUGGAACUUCUUGACAAAUCACCUGUUAAAUUUUAGCUGACAGCUUGUCAUAUAUUAAUUAUAAAUAAUUGUAAUAUACUGCUAUCAUAAUGCAUGCAACACUAAAAAAAUACGGAAGGUAAUUAGAGUCUAUCCUUUGUUUUCCCCCUUCACUUCUUGCUCACAAGAAAAAAAAAUGACCCAGUGUUUCACUUGGGUUGGGAUAGUGCCAGUGGUUAAUGGAAUGCCCCACUCUACUAAAGAAUUUAAUGGGAAUAUCCAUUUGUCACCGUCGCAUGCUGUAAUCUCCAGUAGCAGAGCCAAUGGAAAAUAGCACCGUACCAUAACGUCCUCUACACACAGCAGGUAAGGGUGAAAUGCAGCAGCAGAACCGAACAGAGUCAGGGUAGAGGGCCUAGAUUUCCUAGGCCUCUCUUUAGAAAAAGACGUGGAUCUCCUUUUCUUUAAAAGAAGCCUGCUGCCUGAUAGCAACAAGAAAUGCUGCCCGGGAGGAAACGAGAAAGUGCAUUUCUUUCACAUGGACAGAAGUGUGAACGUUUGCACAGCAUGUCUCACAAUCUGUAACCACCUCUGCCUACUGGAAGCCCAACCUGUUUGUAAAAUGUCUUUGGGUAGUGGAAUCAGAAAGAUCAAGAAUAAACACUUAUUUCAAUCACCCGCUCAUUCUGAGUUUGAGCUUUCCAAUCUGGAGAAUGGGAAUAAUAGCACCUAAACUUGCAAUAUCAUAGGUAGAAUCCAUAAAACAUUAUGAGUUAAAAAAUUAGCAUGGCUCUUGAGGUGUCUUCCUUUCUUCUUCCCAGUUUAGGUGGAAUUGUAGUGUAGCCUGAUUACUUUCUAUGUGUAUAUCUUGUGUUUUCAAAUGAAUUAAAAUAUUGUUUAUUUUAAGGACUGUGUUUUGCUUUAUCUUUCUCAUGUGCCAGGUCUGUGUUUGAUCAAGAAAUAAGCUACUGUGAAAUGCUGCAUGAAUUAAAUUUGAAAAACUCUCUCAAACAUUUUAAAGCUUGUAGAGAUUAAUAUUUAAGUUAUCUGAGGAUUAAAACCAUUCAUUGCUAUUCCAUGUAUGCAUUUAGCUGCAAAUUAAUGAAGUAUAUUAGGUGUGGCUAGUACCUAUAGGAAGUUGCCUCAGAUAUUCAUGUCAGUGCCUUAAAUUCUUUACUAUCUUUAGAACACAUCAUUUGACCUUAUGCUGUGUUUCUCCAUUCUAACUGGAUUUAAUACAAACCACUGUAGACUUCACAAAAUAUGAUCAACAAUUAUUUAGUUCCUUGGCUAAUAAUUUAUAAUCAGAAAAGAAGUAAAAAUGCAAGAUUUUGAAAUCAAAGAGAAGUAGUUUCCAGAGUCUAGCUUGGCCACUCAUUAGCUAUGUCAACUUGGCCAAAUUACUUAUUAUCUUUGUUCCUGUUUUCUCACUUAUACAAUGGGGCUAAUAAUAUUUAAUUAUUAGGUCUGUUGUUAAGCUUUGAAACUUUUUUCUUUUGAUCACUAGCCACAUAAUGGAAACAUAAGUCUCACAAAAUAAUACUUGAUAUAUAUAAUGCACUAUUCUUUUAUUCUCUACUUUCAUUUGAAAUAUUGUUCUUGACCCACUAGAUUCUUGACCCAGCAAAGGUCAUGAUGUGCCUCUCAAAAAACAGUGGGAUAGCAUGAUGUUUAGUAUAUAACACAAGUGUAACAAAUGAUUACUACUAUUGUCCUUGUGAUUAUUUUCAGUCUUCUUUUUAGGAUGCUUCAUGAUACAUGAGAGUGAAAUCUUUCGAGUACUUCUAGGAAUUAACUUCCUUGGAUGGGGUCCAAAAUAGACUCAUACUCAUCGUAUGCUGAGUUAUGCACUAGAGGGGGUUGUGCUAUAGCAAAGCUCCUGUGUGCUAUUCAUCAAAGAAUGUUAGAGCUGAAAGGGAACUAAGAAAAUGCCUAGUACCUUACCUUCAUUUUCCUGUAUGUAUUUAUUUAUAUUUUAAAAAUAUUCCAUACUCUUAUUUAUAAGUUGCAAAAAUGGCUUCUUGGAUCCAGAACUGGGAGGUAAUUAGGAAUAGCUGGGAGGUGGGCAUUGGAUCAUGACAUCUGUAGUUUUGUUCUGCUUCUACCAAUAAAGAGUUGAGUCACCUUUAACUCUCAGGGACUCAGUUUCCUUAAUUGUAAAAUUUGGUGAUUUCAACAGAUGAUUAUUCCACUCUGAUGUUUUUUGACCUCAAACCUCCAAAUGGUAAACUCUUCUAGAGGGUAUACUAGAUGCUGUUUUGUUACAAAUCUGAUCUGAAUGUAUUGAUAUGUGUAUAUUAGACAGCAUUCUUAUUCCCACCACAAUUCAGAUGUACAGAGAAAGUAUGGCUCCUCCAUUUGCUAUUUCUCUUAUCAUCCCAAAAUAAAACUGUCUCUUCUGUGUAAUGACAGCUCAGACUUUCUAGUCACUUCCUGCUACUGCUACAAUUUUUUUUUUUAAUCUCCUGGUUGUAGUGGGGCAGGAACAGGAACAUCUAGAACCUCAGGAUGUCAGGAAAGUUGAGUCUUUGGGCAUUUGUCAUUGACUUAUAUUGUCCUCUGUCUCCUCUGAUUUCUGGGUCCCUUUUCUUCCCACUUGUACAUCUUGGUAACCAUCACCACUAAAUUCUCUAGCUAAUCUAACUUGUUACUAGUGAGGUACAUUGAUACUAUUUCUUCUUUGACUGUGCUCUCAGAUAGUAAUCAGAGUUCCCAGCUGAGAUUUUUUUUCUUUCAGUAUUAAUAGUAAUUUCUUUUGAUUUUUUUGAGUUUUAUUGACAUAUAGUUGAUUUACAAGGUUGUGAUAAUUUCUUCUGUACUACAAAGUGAUUCAGUCAUACAUAUGCACAUAUCUGUUCUCUUUCAGAUUCUUUUCCCAUAUAGAUUAUCACAGAAUAUUGGGUAGGGCUUCCUGUGGGCCUAUUGUUCCAUCUACCUCAGUGUGCACAUGUCAAUCCCAAACCCCCAGUCCAUCCCCCUCACUUGUCCCCUUUGUUAACCAUAAGUUUUUUAGAGUUUGUGAGCUGGGAUUUUAAAUAAGGUCAGACCUAGUUAAAUAUUCUUAAAUGAGGUAGAGGCAUGUGUCUAUCCCUACCAAAGACAACAGCAGAGGAAAUAUAAGGGUUUUUAAAACUGUGUUUGUUCCUCUAACAUCCAACUCUGCACAAAAAAAGUGGGACUUAUCAGUUUAUGGGGGAGGAUGUGGCAAUGAAAAAGCCCAAUAGGAGUUUACACCUUGAGUGAGAAUCACCUGGGUUGAGGCUCAGCUUUCUGAAAUCAUCCUUAGGGCACAGGGCCCAGGUGUCCAGCAUACCUGCUUAGCAUUUCAGUAUCUUGUGUUAUCAGAGACCUCUGGAGGCUUGCACAGGUCUUCUUGAUUUUUAAUAUGAGGCU